rnacentral:lncRNA from 1 species
CCAGGCCACCUCCAUAGUAGCAACCAGUUGCCCUUAAGUUAGGUAUGUCCCUUGAGGAGAUAGUUAAAUCCCUUGCAACUAAUACACAAUAGUUUCAACAAGAAACAAGGGUUAGCAUCUAUAAUCUAGAAACCCAGAUGAGUCAACCUACAACACAUAUAAGUAGAUUGGAGUCUUAAGGUAAGCUAUCAUCUCAUAUAGAAGUAAAUUCGAGGUCAAACAUGAGUGCAAUCAAGUUAUGGAGUGACAAGGAACUGCAAGAAAUUCCUCGUUGGCUAAGCC